rnacentral:rRNA from 1 species
AAACCGCUUAGGGGUUAAACCCGAUGAACCCGAAUAUCUGAAAUGAGAAAUUCAAUAAUUUUUUUAUGUUAAUUUUUUUGAAUUUAAUAUAAAUGUUAUGCACUUUUCUCAUAGUAAGACAUUGCAAUCCAUUAGUAUUUGAAUUUAGUUUAUUAAACGGCCCGUUUGUUUAGUUUAUUCUAUCUGUAGCAAUAUAUUUUAUUGUUAUAUGAAUAAUAGCAAAAAUUGGUGUCCUAAUAAACAGCUGAUGGAAUUUAAAAAUCAUGCAAGCACAUUUCGAUGUGUAUUACGAUAUUGUAAUAUAUAUAUAUGAUAUGCAUGUAAUAGCAUGUAUUUGAUUAGCAAUGCGAUAGAUUUGGGAUACCUUCGGGACCCGUCUUGAAACACGGACCAAGAAGUCUAACAUGUGUGCAAAUCAUUGGGUUGUGUUGUUAAAGCCUAAAGGUGCAAUUAAAAUAACUAUAAAUUUUAAUGGGAUUACAAAUAAUUUAAUUUUAUUAAAUUGUUUUUCCAUCCCGGGGCGUUCUAUAUUAAACAUGAUUCAAGCAAUUGGAUCCUCUGUUUAAGAGCGUACCUUG